AUGGGUCAUGUGAUGAUUGAUGCAUAGUUCACAUGAGUUUAUCUGUGAUUAAACAUCAUUUUAGUCUUUCGCUCCUAUCUGAUGACCCCU